GUGCUCAAUUUUGUAGCAUAUAUACUAAAAUUGGAAUGCUACCGGGAAUAUUACCAUGGCUUCUGCACAAGGAUGACAUGCAAAUUCAUGAAGCAUUCUGUAUUUUU
ensembl:snRNA U6 U6 spliceosomal RNA